UACAGAGGUCUCAAGCGUUGUUCGGAUUCAUUGGGCGUAAAGGGUGCGUAGGCGGUGCGGAAAGUCGGGUGUGAAAUCCCCCAGCUCAACUGGGGAAUUGCGCCUGAAACUACCGUGCUCGAGGAAGACAGAGGUACGCGGAACUUAGGGUGGAGCGGUGAAAUGCGUUGAUAUCCUAAGGAACACCGGUGGCGAAGGCGGUUGCCUGGAGCUUUGCUGACGCUGAGGCGCGAAAGCGUGGGGAGCGAUCCGG
rnacentral:rRNA from 1 species